rnacentral:rRNA from 1 species
AAAAGUUACUCAAGAGCAUACAAUGGAUGCCUAGACAUAUAUUACCGAAGAAAGACGUGUGAGACUGCGAUAAGUCUUGGGGAGCUGUCAAAAAAGCUGUGAUCCAGGAAUUUCUGAAUGGGGAAACCUAAUAUGAGUAAUGUCAUAUUGUUAUUGUCUGAACACAUAGGGCAAUAGACGGGAACCGGCCGAACUGAAACAUCUUAGUAGGUUGAGGAAGAGAAAAUAACCAAUGAUUUUCGGAGUAGUGGCGAGCGAAACGGAAACAGUCCAAACUUUUUAGGUUUUUGUGUAUUAAUUUAUACAAAUAAGCUGAUAGGCGAAUAUCUAAAAGGGGUUGUGAGAAAUUUGAUACCAAGUCAGUUAAUUCGAAAUUCGAGUUCACUGAUUUGUGACCACGGGCUAUCAACUGUGGUGUAAGGUAAAAAAACGGCGUAGUUAGCAGAAUCGUUUGAAUGGCGAGUCAAAGAGUGUGAGAACCACGUACGCGAAAACGACGCUGACCUUAUUUCAAGUUAUCUCGAGUAGGACGAGGCACGAGAAACCUUGUCUGAAGCCGGCAGGACCACCUGCCAAGACUAAAUAUAAUAUAUGAUCGAUAGUGAACUAGUACAGCGAUGGAAAGGUGAAAAGAACCCCGGGAGGGGAGUGAAAUAGAUCCUGAAAUUAUGUGCCUACAAGGAGUCGGAGCAGAUUUAUUCUGUGACGGCGUGCUUUUUGUAGAACGAUCCAGCGAGUUAAUUUCGUACGCAAGGUUAAGUUAGUUAACGGAGCCACAGUGAAAGCGAGCCUGAAUAGGGCGUUUAGUGUACGGAAUUAGACCCGAAACCGGGUGACCUAACCAUGAGCAGGUUGAAGCUACUGUAACAGGUAGUGGAGGACCGAACCAGGAUACGCAGCAAAGUGUUUGGAUGACUUGUGGUUAGCGGUGAAAUGCCAAUCGAACUCGGAGAUAGCUGGUUCUCCUCGAAAUAGCUUUAGGGCUAGCGUCAUGUUAGUAAUGUAUGGGGGUAGAGCUCUGUAAAGGAUUGGGGCGGGCAACUGUACCCACCCUUAACAAACUACGAAUACCGUAUAUGUAAUCAUGGCAGUUAGAACAUCGGUGCUAAGAUCGGUGCUCAAAAGGGAAACAGCCCAGACCAUCAUCUAAGGUCCCUAAAUAUACAUUAAGUGGGAAACAAGGUGAAAUUUCUUAAACAGCGAGGAUGUUGGCUUAGAAGCAGCCAUUCAUUUAAAGAGUGCGUAACAGCUCACUCGUCAAGAGAUUUUGCGUGGAAAAUGUAACGGGGCUAAAUGUAUUACCGAAGAUAUGGAUUAUUACAUUAGUAAUAGUGGUAGAGGAGCGUUCCUAUCAGCAGUGAAGCAGUAUUGAAAAGUAUUGUGGAGCGGUAGGAAGUGAGAAUGCUGGAAUGAGUAACCAUAAGAUAGGUGAGAAUCCUGUCGGCCGUAAGAGCAAGGUUUCCUGAGCUAUGGUAAUCAUCUCAGGGUUAGUCGGGCCUAAGCCGAGGCGCAUAGCGUAGGCGAUGGACAUCAGGUUGAUAUUCCUGAACCGGCGUAGUUUGUACACUGUUCACGGAGAGAUAUUCGGAGCGGAUUCAUGGUAUGUAUUCGUCCAACCGAGCGGGAACGCAAAGGGAGUGAAAGUUACUCUACGGAGUGACGAUUCUGAAAAAGGCUCUGGCUAGAAAAGCAGGUGUACGCGUGGCUAUGUCCGCCCGUACCGCAAACCAACACAGGUGCUCGAGUCGAGUAGACUCAGGCUUACGAGCGAACCUUCGCUAAGGAACUCGGCAAUACAGCGACCGUAACUUCGGGAUAAGGUCUGCCCCCACUUCGGUGGAUAUCAGCCGCGUUCACUCAGUGAAUAUAUAGGUUAAAGAGUACAUUUUUAAUCACAAAACGAAUUUUCUGAGAUAGAGCAAACAAACUGUUCUUUUGAACGCGAAUCUCUUGUAUCUAACGAUGUGGGGGCCGCAGCAAAAGAGCCCACGGAACUGUUUAUCAAAAACACAGGUCUCUGCUAACACGAAAGUGGAUGUAUAGGGGCUGACUCCUGCCCAAUGCUGGAAGGUUAAGGGGAGCGCUUCACGGUGCGAACUGAAGCCCUAGUCAAUGGCGGCGGUAACUAUAACCGUCCUAAGGUAGCGAAAUUCCUUGUCAGGUAAGUUC